rnacentral:rRNA from 1 species
GACGGACGCUGGCGGCGUGCCUAACACAUGCAAGUCGAGCGAAUGAAGUUCCUUCGGGAACGGAUUUAGCGGCGGACGGGUGAGUAACACGUGGGCAACCUGCCUCAUAGAGGGGAAUAGCCUUCCGAAAGGGAGAUUAAUACCGCAUAAGAUUGUAGUACCGCAUGGUACAGCAAUUAAAGGAGCAAUCCGCUAUGAGAUGGGCCCGCGGCGCAUUAGCUAGUUGGUGAGGUAACGGCGCACCAAGGCGACGAUGCGUAGCCGACCUGAGAGGGUGAUCGGCCACAUUGGGACUGAGACACGGCCCAGACUCCUACGGGAGGCAGCAGUGGGGAAUAUUGCACAAUGGGGGAAACCCUGAUGCAGCAACGCCGCGUGAGUGAUGACGGCCUUCGGGUUGUAAAGCUCUGUCUUCAGGGACGAUAAUGACGGUACCUGAGGAGGAAGCCACGGCUAACUACGUGCCAGCAGCCGCGGUAACAC